rnacentral:rRNA from 1 species
AGGGAAUCUUCCACAAUGGACGAAAGUCUGAUGGAGCAACGCCGCGUGAGUGAUGAAGGUUUUCGGAUCGUAAAACUCUGUUGUAAGGGAAGAACCAGUACGUCAGGCAAUGGACGUACCUUGACGGUACCUUAUUAGAAAGCCACGGCUAACUACGUGCCAGCAGCCGCGGUAAUACGUAGGUGGCAAGCGUUGUCCGGAAUUAUUGGGCGUAAAGCGCGCGCAGGUGGUUUCUUAAGUCUGAUGUGAAAGCCCACGGCUUAACCGUGGAGGGUCAUUGGAAACUGGGAGACUUGAGUGCAGAAGAGGAAAGUGGAAUUCCAAGUGUAGCGGUGAAAUGCGUAGAGAUUUGGAGGAACACCAGUGGCGAAGGCGGUUCUCUGGACAUUUCCUGACGCUGAGAAGCGAAAGCGUGGGGAGCAAACA